GGAAGAGAAUGCUUAAAUACACUUCGAUGCUAUAUGUUUCAAUAUCUUAUUUUAAGCUAUAAAUCUGAUUGAUUUCUGUUUUUAAAGGAGCGUUUCAACGUCCAUCAGAAAGGAUAUAAGAGAAGGGGACUCGUCUGGUCACUAUUAUGGGAAUGCCUAUAUGCAAGGGAUAAAAAGCCUUAUGAGAAGUUCCUGAGUGCAGAAUGCAAGAUAUAUUGCCAUCUCAUUCGUCCCCCAGAACUGGAGGCUUUUCUUCUUAACGAAGUUCAGGGGAUUUGGACGUUCAAGACUGUAGCAUUUUGAGCAGGAACCAAUAACAUUCAUAAAAAUAAAAAGAAAUGCAAAACUA